GCGUUCAUAGCUCAGUUGGUUAGAGCACCACCUUGACAUGGUGGGGUCGUUGUCUGAGUCCACUUGAACGCACCA
rnacentral:tRNA from 1 species